GCAAGUCGAGCGGUAACAGGAAUUAGCUUGCUAAUUCGCUGACGAGCGGCGGACGGGUGAGUAAUGCCUGGGAAUAUGCCUUAGUGUGGGGGAUAACCAUUGGAAACGAUGGCUAAUACCGCAUAAUGCCUACGGGCCAAAGAGGGGGAUCUUCGGACCUCUCGCCAUUUGAUUAGCCCAAGUGAGAUUAGCUAGUAGGUGAGGUAAAGGCUCACCUAGGCGACGAUCUCUAGCUGGUUUGAGAGGAUGAUC
rnacentral:rRNA from 1 species